UAGGGAAUCUUCCACAAUGGACGCAAGUCUGAUGGAGCAACGCCGCGUGAGUGAAGAAGGUUUUCGGACCGUAAAGCUCUGUUGUUGGUGAAGAAGGAUAGAGGUAGUAACUGGCCUUUAUUUGACGGUAAUCAACCAGAAAGUCACGGCUAACUACGUGCCAGCAGCCGCGGUAAUCGUAGGUGGCAAGCGUUGUCCGGAUUUAUUGGGCGUAAAGCGAGCGCAGGCGGAAGAAUAAGUCUGAUGUGAAAGCCCUCGGCUUAACCGAGGAAUUGCAUCAGAAACUGUUUUUCUUGAGUGCAGAAGAGGAGAGUAGAACUCCAUGUGUAGCGGUGGAAUGCGUAGAUAUAUGGAAGAAUACCAGUGGCGAAGGCGGCUCUCUGGUCUGCAACUGACGCUGAGGCUCGAAAGCAUGGGUAGCGAACAGGAUUAGAUACCCUUGGUAGUCCAUGCCGUAAACGAUGAGUGCUAAGUGUUGGGAGGCUUCCGCCUCUCAGUGCUGCAGCUAACGCAUUAAGCACUCCGCCUGGGGGAGUACGACCGCAAGGUUGAAAC
rnacentral:rRNA from 1 species